rnacentral:rRNA from 1 species
UACGUAGGGAGCAAACGUUGUUCGGAUUUACUGGGCGUAAAGGGCGCGUAGGCGGCGCGGUAAGUCACUUGUGAAAUCUCUGAGCUUAACUCAGAACGGCCAAGUGAUACUGCAGUGCUAGAGUGCAGAAGGGGCAAUCGGAAUUCUUGGUGUAGCGGUGAAAUGCGUAGAUAUCAAGAGGAACACCUGAGGUGAAGACGGGUUGCUGGGCUGACACUGACGCUGAGGCGCGAAAGCCAGGGGAGCAAACGGG